UACGUAGGGGGCUAGCGUUGUUCGGAUUCAUUGGGCGUAAAGGGUGCGUAGGUGGCGGGGUAAGUCUGGUGUGAAAUCUCGGGGCUCAACCCCGAAACUGCACUGGAUACUGCCUUGCUCGAGUACUGGAGAGGAGAUUGGAAUUUACGGUGUAGCAGUGAAAUGCGUAGAUAUCGUAAGGAAGACCAGUGGCGAAGGCGAAUCUCUGGACAGUUACUGACACUGAGGCACGAAGGCCAGGGGAGCAAACGGG
rnacentral:rRNA from 1 species